rnacentral:rRNA from 1 species
CUGGGGAGUACGGCCGCAAGGUUAAAACUCAAAUGAAUUGACGGGGCCCGCACAAGCGGUGGAGCAUGUGGUUUAAUUCGAUGCAACGCGAAGAACCUUACCUGGCCUUGACAUCCAGAGAACUUAGCAGAGAUGCUUUGGUGCCUUCGGGAACUCUGAGACAGGUGCUGCAUGGCUGUCGUCAGCUCGCGUUGUGAAAUGUUGGGUUAAGUCCCGCAACGAGCGCAACCCUUAUCCUUUGUUGCCAGCGGUUCGGCCGGGAACUCAAAGGAGACUGCCGGUGAUAAACCGGAGGAAGGUGGGGAUGACGUCAAGUCAUCAUGGCCCUUACGGCCAGGGCUACACACGUGCUACAAUGGCGCAUACAAAGAGAAGCGACCUCGCGAGAGCAAGCGGACCUCAUAAAGUGCGUCGUAGUCCGGAUUGGAGUCUGCAACUCGACUCCAUGAAGUCGGAAUCGCUAGUAAUCGUAGAUCAGAAUGCUACGGUGAAUACGUUCCCGGGCCUUGUACACACCGCCCGUCACACCAUGGGAGUGGGUUGCAAAAGAAGUAGGUAGCUUAACCUUCGGGAGGGCGCUUACCACUUUGUGAUUCAUGACUGGGGUGAAGUCGUAACAAGGUAACCAAGGGCGAAUUCUG